AGUCUCGCGAGAUAUAUGACGUCGCCUUGACGACAGUUUCACUGUUGAUACCGCCAUUGAUGUGCUGUAACAAUACUAUCAUAUUGCUGCUUGUUUCCUGCUGGUUGCUUCGUUUUUAGCUCAUCUCCGCUUGUGAAAACCAUGAGCUCAUACACCCAAGGUAAACGAGCGAUGUCAAGACCUGCAUUGUGAGCACAAAGAACAUGGCACACAAGAGGAUAUCUUUACAUGCAGUGGGGCGGACAUACCCUGUCCGACACAGCCCAACUAUUGGCAGGAUUUGAGUGCUACUGGAUGUUGUUUCACGCUAUAUUCAGCAGUAUUCCAGCUACAAACCACUGAUUGUUGUCAGGGUAGGAAGACACACUGCCAUCCAAGACACUGACCCAAUUCUAACCGGAAUCGCCACAGUCACCAAAGUGCCAACCAUGAACAUUCAUAAUAAAACUGCACUUAUGUGUGA
rnacentral:misc_RNA from 1 species